rfam:Schistosoma mattheei strain Denwood, Zambia genome assembly, scaffold: SMTD_scaffold0002012
AUCCAGUUGACGAGUCCUACAUAGAAUGAAACGCGCGUCUUGAAU